AGAGUUUGAUCCUGGCUCAGGAUGAACGCUGGCGGCGUGCUUAACACAUGCAAGUCGAGCGAAGCGCUCACGCGGAAUUUUUCGGAAGGAAGCGGGAGUGACUUAGCGGCGGACGGGUGAGUAACGCGUGGGUAACCUGCCCCAUACCGGGGGAUAACGGUUAGAAAUGACCGCUAAUACCGCUUAAGCGCGCGAGGCCGCAUGGCCGCGCGCGAAAAACUCCGGUGGUAUGGGAUGGGCCCGCGUCUGAUUAGCUAGUUGGCGGGGUAACGGCCCACCAAGGCGACGAUCAGUAGCCGACCUGAGAGGGUGGCCGGCCACAUUGGGACUGAGACACGGCCCAAACUCCUACGGGAGGCAGCAGUGGGGAAUAUUGCGCAAUGGGGGAAACCCUGACGCAGCAACGCCGCGUGAGUGAAGAAGUAUCUCGGUAUGUAAAGCUCUAUCAGCGGGGAAGAAGGAAGACGGUACCCGACUAAGAAGCCCCGGCUAACUACGUGCCAGCAGCCGCGGUAAUACGUAGGGGGCGAGCGUUAUCCGGAUUUACUGGGUGUAAAGGGAGCGU
rnacentral:rRNA from 1 species